AGCGGCGGACGGGUUAGUAACGCGUGGGAACGUGCCCUUUGGUUCGGAAUAGCCCUUGGAAACGAGGAGUAAUGCCGAAUGUGCCCUUCGGGGGAAAGAUUUAUCGCCAAAGGAUCGGCCCGCGUUAGAUUAGCUUGUUGGUGAGGUAACGGCUCACCAAGGCUUCGAUCGGUAGCUGGUCUGAGAGGAUGAUCAGCCACACUGGGACUGAGACACGGCCCAGACUCCUACGGGAGGCAGCAGUGGGGAAUAUUGGACAAUGGGG
rnacentral:rRNA from 1 species